rnacentral:rRNA from 1 species
CGUGUAGGCGGCCAGGUAGGUCUGCUGUGAAAACUCGAGGCUUAACCUCGAGAUGUCGGCGGAAACCAUUUGGCUAGAGUCCGGAAGAGGAGAGUGGAAUUCCUGGUGUAGCGGUGAAAUGCGCAGAUAUCAGGAAGAACACCCGUGGCGAAGGCGGCUCUCUGGGACGGUACUGACGCUGAGACGCGAAAGCGUGGGGAGCGAACA